rnacentral:rRNA from 1 species
ACUCCUACGGGAGGCAGCAGUGGGGAAUAUUGCACAAUGGGCGCAAGCCUGAUGCAGCCAUGCCGCGUGUAUGAAGAAGGCCUUCGGGUUGUAAAGUACUUUCAGUUGUGAGGAAAGGUUAGUCGCUAAUAUCGGCUAGCUGUGACGUUAGCAACAGAAGAAGCACCGGCUAACUCCGUGCCAGCAGCCGCGGUAAUACGGAGGGUGCGAGCGUUAAUCGGAAUUACUGGGCGUAAAGCGCGUGUAGGUGGCUUGUUAAGCCAGAUGUGAAAGCCCCGGGCUCAACCUGGGAACUGCAUUUGGAACUGGCAGGCUAGAGUUUUGUAGAGGGUGGUAGAAUUUCAGGUGUAGCGGUGAAAUGCGUAGAGAUCUGAAGGAAUACCGGUGGCGAAGGCGACCACCUGGCCAAUAACUGACACUGAGACGCGAAGGCGUGGGUAGCAAACGGGAUUAGAUACCCUGGUAGGUGA